rnacentral:ncRNA from 2 species
GGGUUUUUAUUUUAUACUUUAAACAUUGAUUUUAUUUUUUAUGUUUUUAGAUGUUCAUGUUUUUGAAUGUUUUAUUUAAAUAAUAUAAAAAAUAAAAUAUAUAUUGACAUGGAUUAAACAAAGAUAUAUAUUAUUCUAUGUUGCAUAAGCAAAUUGGCAAAAUAGAGAUGGAAGAUAAAAAUAUGGUCAAAGUAAU